UUAAAAAGCUCGUAGUUGAAUUUCGGGAUUUAUCCGUCGGUCGGGCUUUUGGGUCUGUACUGGCGUGAUGGAUUUCUACCCUCUGAAUAACCGGCAUGUCAUUAAUUUGGUGCGCCGGGGAAGCAGGACUGUUACCUUGAAAAAAUUAGAGUGCUUAAAGCAGGCUAUUGCCUGAAUACAUUAGCAUGGAAUAAUGAAAUAGGACGGCAUGGUUCUAUUUUGUUGGUUUCUAGGAUCACCGUAAUGAUUAAUAGGGAUAGUUGGGGG
rnacentral:rRNA from 1 species